rnacentral:rRNA from 1 species
CGCCCCCGCCCCCACGGGAGGCAGCAGUGGGGAAUAUUGCACAAUGGGCGCAAGCCUGAUGCAGCGACGCCGCGUGAGGGAUGACGGCCUUCGGGUUGUAAACCUCUUUCACCAGGGACGAAGCGUGAGUGACGGUACCUGGAGAAGAAGCACCGGCCAACUACGUGCCAGCAGCCGCGGUAAUACGUAGGGUGCGAGCGUUGUCCGGAAUUACUGGGCGUAAAGAGUUCGUAGGCGGUUUGUCGCGUCGUUCGUGAAAACUUGGGGCUUAACUCCAAGCGUGCGGGCGAUACG